UACGUAGGGCGCAAGCGUUGUCCGGAAUUAUUGGGCGUAAAGAGCUCGUAGGCGGCUUGUCACGUCGAUUGUGAAAGCCCCGAGGCUUAACCUCGGGUCUGCAGUCGAUACGGGCUAGCUAGAGUGUGGUAGGGGGAGAUCGGAAUUCCUGGUGUAGCGGUGAAAUGCGCAGAUAUCAGGAGGAACACCGGUGGCGAAGGCGGAUCUCUGGGGCCAUUACUGACGCUGAGGAGCGAAAGCGUGGGG
rnacentral:rRNA from 1 species